GCAGAGGCUUCCAGCCUAUGAUGUCCAGGAGACAGUAGCCAUAACUGAGGCCAUCCUGGAACACUACCAUGUCCUCUUCAGUUGGGGUCACCAACAUCAGUGGGAGAGGACAGCCCUCUGGGAAGACAUCACACAGUGAUUGAACACCUUGGGGAACUAUGGCUGCAGGUAUGAAUAGGUCAGGCACAGAGCAUGGCAACGGGCUGCUGUCGUGGUGAGGGACCAUUCCACUACUAGUGGGGGGCCAGCCAGAGAGGCUCCACUUACAGAAAUGGAGGAGCUCCUUGCCAACUUUGGGGUGAGCCUCAGAGAACAACCACUACAAGAUGUAGCUGUUGUGGAGGUGGGUGCCACCCAGGAAACCAGCGAAUAGCAUCCAGGUACCAUGAGGCACAGCAGCCUGAGGCUGAAAUAUCAUUUAUACUAUGAAACAUCAAUUUCCAAAAUCCUGAAGAUCAGAAAUGGCAAAAAGUAAUGCCUGCAACACAAAAGAGUGAACAAAUUAGCUGUAAUUGUUUUUAUAUAUAUAUGUUGUUAUAUAUGUUAUUUUUUUUUUAGAAAGGCAAGCCCCCCACACCUCACAAGCAUAUCUAUAUCAACUCCAUAGUCACACCAACUUGAAUAAGGAAGAAAUGUUUAAAAAUAAGUAAAUAAUUCCUGCCAUACAGUUAGAAAUCACACUGGCAAUUAUUUCUAAUGGUUAAAAGAGAUCAAGGUGAUGUUCCUGUUUUUUCUUUAGGCUACUGAUUCUUGAGCAAUUUCAGUUUGAUCAACUGUCCAUAUUUUCACAGAAUGUCCAGACUUUUGUCUGUUAUUUUUGGUCCAUUCCUCAUAAAA